GAUGAACGCUGGCGGCGUGCCUAAUACAUGCAAGUCGAGCGAACAGACGAGAAGCUUGCUCCUCUGAUGUUAGCGGCGGACGGGUGAGUAACACGUGGAUAACCUACCUAUAAGACUGGGAUAACUUCGGGAAACCGGAGCUAAUACCGGAUAAUAUUUUGAACCGCAUGGUUCAAUAGUGAAAGACGGUUUUGCUGUCACUUAUAGAUGGAUCCGCGCUGCAUUAGCUAGUUGGUAAGGUAACGGCUUACCAAGGCAACGAUGCGUAGCCGACCUGAGAGGGUGAUCGGCCACACUGGAACUGAGACACGGUCCAGACUCCUACGGGAGGCAGCAGUAGGGAAUCUUCCGCAAUGGGCGAAAGCCUGACGGAGCAACGCCGCGUGAGUGAUGAAGGUCUUCGGAUCGUAAAACUCUGUUAUUAGGGAAGAACAAAUGUGUAAGUAACUGUGCACGUCUUGACGGUACCUAAUCAGAAAGCCACGGCUAACUACGUG
rnacentral:rRNA from 1 species